rnacentral:rRNA from 1 species
CAAGCAUAUCAAUAAGCGGAGGAAAAGAAACCAACAGGGAUUACCUCAGUAACGGCGAGUGAAGCGGUAACAGCUCAAAUUUGAAAGCUGCCAACAGGUCGCGUUGUAAUUUGUAGAAGAUGCUUUGGGUGUUGGCCUAGUCUAAGUUCCUUGGAACAGGACGUCAUAGAGGGUGAGAAUCCCGUAUGUGAUUAGUGCCUCCCCCCGUGUAAAGCUCUUUCGACGAGUCGAGUUGUUUGGGAAUGCAGCUCAAAAUGGGUGGUAAAUUUCAUCUAAAGCUAAAUAUUGGCCAGAGACCGAUAGCGCACAAGUAGAGUGAUCGAAAGAUGAAAAGCACUUUGGAAAGAGAGUUAAACAGUACGUGAAAUUGUUGAAAGGGAAGCGCUUGCAAUCAGACUUGCAGGCGGUUGAUCAUCCGGGGUUUUCCCCGGUGCACUCGAUCGUCUUCAGGCCAGCAUCAGUUCUCGUGGUGGGAUAAAGGCUGUGAGAAUGUGGCUCUUCGGAGUGUUAUAGCUCACGGUGCAAUGCUGCCUACGGGGACUGAGGACCGCGCUUCGGCUAGGAUGCUGGCGUAAUGGUUGUAAGCGACCCGUCUUGAAACACGGACCAAGGAGUCUAACAUCUAUGCGAGUGUUUGGGUGUCAAACCCAUACGCGUAAUGAAAGUGAACGGAGGUGAGAACCCUUUAGGGCGCAUCAUCGACCGAUCCUGAUGUCUUCGGAUGGAUUUGAGUAAGAGCAUAGCUGUUGGGACCCGAAAGAUGGUGAACUAUGCGUGAAUAGGGUGAAGCCAGAGGAAACUCUGGUGGAGGCUCGCAGCGGUUCUGACGUGCAAAUCGAUCGUCAAAUUUGCGUAUAGGGGCGAAAGACUAAUCGAACCAUCUAGUAGCUGGUUCCUGCCGAA